CCGGGAAUGAUCCUUCGGGUGAAUGAAUGGUUGGAAAGUGGCGAACGGGUGAGUAACGCGUGGGUAACCUGCCCUAUGGAAAGGAAUAGCCUCGGGAAACUGGGAGUAAUGCCUUAUAAUAUACAGAAGUCGCAUGGCUUUUGUAUUAAACGCUCCGGUGCCAUAGGAUGGACCCGCGUCCCAUUAGCUAGUUGGUGAGAUAACAGCCCACCAAGGCGACGAUGGGUAACCGGUCUGAGAGGGCGAACGGUCACACUGGAACUGAGACACGGUCCAGACUCCUACGGGAGGCAGCAGUGGGGAAUAUUGCGCAAUGGGGGCAACCCUGACGCAGCAAUACCGCGUGAGUGAAGAAGGUUUUCGGAUCGUAAAGCUCUGUUAUUGGGGAAGAAAAAAGACGGUACCCAAGAAGAAAGUCCCGGCUAACUACGUGCCAGCAGCCGCGGUAAUACGUA
rnacentral:rRNA from 1 species